CACAGAGUCCAAUUGUUGUAGGGGUUGAGGCAGACAUUCGCAAGAGCACAUUUUGACACUAACAAUAAUGUACUCUUCCUAAUGCCUGGCUCACUCUCUAGCCCUUGUCAACACCUGGUU
rnacentral:precursor_RNA from 14 species